rnacentral:rRNA from 1 species
UACGGGGGGGGUAAGCGUUGUUCGGAAUUACUGGGCGUAAAGGGCUCGUAGGCGGCCAACUAAGUCAGACGUGAAAUCCCUCAGCUUAACUGGGGAACUGCGUCUGAUACUGGAUGGCUUGGAUUCGGGAGAGGAAUGCGGAAUUCCAGGUGUAGCGGUGAAAUGCGUAGAUAUCUGGAGGAAUACCGGUGGCGAAGGCGGCAUCCUGGACCGGCAUUGACGCUGAGGAGCGAAAGCCAGGGGAGCAAAGCGGG